GUCAUGGACAUUUAUGUUUUCAGAGUUCAAUGAUGGCAGCAACAGAGAGUUACUGAGUCUUACAGGAACUGUACCAGUGAGCUUCAAAGCCCACUAGUGCCAUGAUGAUCAAAACAGGGCAGCACGUCGAUGCCAAUGGAAAAAUCUCCCUCCCGUAUUUGCAUGAAUGGAAAC